GAGUAGUAUGGUUGCAACCUGAAGGAAUUGACAGAAGGGCAUCAACAGAAAAGGAGUCUGCGGCUUAAUUUGAUUCAACAUGGGAAACCUUACCAGGUUCGAACGUAAGUGUAUAAGAAGAAUUGAUAGCUCUUUCCCGAAUUUAGGGCUGGCGACAUAUGGCCGUUCAUAGUUCGUCAAUUGAUUUGUCUGGUUAUUUCCGAUAAUGAACGGGCCUGAAGUAUACAAAACAGAUACUUUCAGGGGUAUGAUGUUGAAGCUUCAUUUACGAACGUAGUAGAAUAUGUGAGUGUCUGAAAGCGUCUAUAAAAGUGGAGCGGUGUCUUUUAGAGGUCAUUGGCUUCUUAAAUAGAAUAAUUGGGUCCAGCAAUAAUGAGAUUGAGGUAUAACAGGCCUGCGAAGCCUUUAGUUGUCUUGGGCUGCUGUCCGCGUUACAAUGAAACUAUCAACGUGCAUUUCCUAGGCCAAGAGGUCCGGGUAAACCGCCGAGCUAUUAUCAUGAUUGGAAUUACGAACAGCAGCUGUUCACAUGAACUUGGAAUUCCCGCUAAGGGUGAGUCAUUAACUCGCCCUCAUUAUGUCCCUGGUCUUUGUACACACUGCGCGCCACUACUAUAGGUUGAAUUGUUUAGUGAAAUCUCGCAAUGUGAUUACCGUAACGCAUUGUAUGUGUUGCGGAUGUUUCGCAAAAGUUGACCGAACUUGAUUAUUAAGAGGAAGUAAAAGUCGUAAUCGUAAG
rnacentral:ncRNA from 1 species